rnacentral:rRNA from 1 species
GACAGCAGUAGCCGCGGUAAAACGGAGGGUGCAAGCGUUAAUCGGAAUUACUGGGCGUAAAGCGCACGCAGGCGGUCUGACAAGUCAGAUGUGAAAUCCCCGGGCUUAACCUGGGAACUGCAUUUGAAACUGUCAGGCUGGAGUCUUGUAGAGGGGGGUGGAAUUCCAGGUGUAGCGGUGAAAUGCGUAGAGAUCUGGAGGAAUACCGGUGGCGAAGGCGGCCCCCUGGACAAAGACUGACGCUCAGGUGCGAAAGCGUGGGGAGCAAACAGGAUUAGAUACCCGAGUAGUCCCUGUCUCUUAUAC